rnacentral:lncRNA from 1 species
AGAGAGGUAGAAUUUAGGGUUCCCGGGCUUGGGAGUGAAGGGGAGAAGAGGGAAGGAGAGACCCCUUAGGAGUGUGCGGGACAGAUAGAAGAGCUGCCAAUGGGGUAGAGAAGGAAGGAGAGUGUCCCAGACUCUGGGCCAAGAAAAUGUGACUCGGAGGGCUGAUUAAUUGGAGUGUAGAGCAGCCUGGAUGGAACAUAGAAAUUGAUCAGGAUGUAAAGCUCUCAUCUACUGCUCCAGAGCCACGCC